UGUGGCGGAGGCUAUUGAGGAUGUGGGGUUUGAUGCGUCGAUAUUGACGGUUCGUCGAUUGGACACGCAGAGUAAUAAUGCCAAAAAUAAUGGCGUAGGGGCGAGGAAUGAAACGGAGCAGAUCAA
rnacentral:SRP_RNA from 1 species